AGCGGCGGACGGGUGAGUAACGCGUGGGAAAAUGCCCUUCUCUAAGGAAUAGCCUUGGGAAACUGAGAGUAAUACCUUAUACGCCCUUCGGGGGAAGGAUUCAUCGGAGAAGGAUUAGCCCGCGUUAGAUUAGGUAGUUGGUGGGGUAAUGGCCUACCAAGCCUACGAUCUAUAGCUGGUUUGAGAGGAUGAUCAGCCACACUGGGACUGAGACACGGCCCAGACUCCUACGGGAGGCAGCAGUAGGGAAUCUUAGACAAUGGGGGAAACCCUGAUCUAGCCAUGCCGCGUGUGUGAUGAAGGCCUUAGGGUCGUAAAGCACUUUCGCCAGAGAUGAUAAUGACAGUAUCUGGUAAAGAAACCCCGGCUAACUCCGUGCCAGCAGCCGCGGUAAUACGGAGGGGGUUAGCGUUGUUCGGAAUUACUGGGCGUAAAGCGCACGUAGGCGGAUUAGUAAGUUAGAGGUGAAAUCCCAGGGCUCAACCCUGGAACUGCCUUUAAUACUGCUAGUCUUGAGUUCGAGAGAGGUAAGUGUAAUUCCGAGUGUAGAGGUGAAAUUCGUAGAUAUUCGGAGGAACACCAGUGGCGAAGGCGGCUUACUGGCUCGAUACUGACGCUGAGGUGCGAAAGUGUGGGGAGCAAACAGGAUUAGAUACCCUGGUAGUCCACACCGA
rnacentral:rRNA from 1 species